ACCAAUGAGAGAGAGAAAAAAAACACGCCAUUCAACAAUUAAGACAUGUUUAUUACCUCACUGUGAGAAUACAUAGGCUAAUGCACACAGAGUAUCCACAUAUGUCAGUGAGUGAAAUUGAAAGCCUUCCAGCAAAGCCAUAGUAGUUAUGAGAACACAUCAUCCUCCUCCUCCUCAUCUUCAUCAUGGCUCCACUGCCUAUUAUUAUUAUUAAUACGAUGAAGAGCCGGUGUGGCUGCUCUGGUCUUAACGGGCCUGUUAAGCAUCUUGUCCCCGAUAACAAGGCAGACAGUAUGCCAUAUGAUCCUCCUAAAGAGAAUCAGGGCCACCAGCACUACCAUGAGAACACCGGAGAACAUGGUAGAAAUAACAGCAAUGGAACCACUAAACUCAGAUAUCUCUGUCUGUCACCAAGAUAUUAUGUAAUCACUACUAGUCUAAGACACGGAUGAAUUCCUAUCAACUACUCCAAUAUUUAACUUUAUUGACAUUUCUCUCCCUCAAACAUGUGAAUUUAUAAAUACAGCCAGUCCUGCUAAGGAAUGUGAUUGUAUGCUGCUCACAAACCCAGCCUAUAGAAACUACUCAGAGGCAGUGGAAUGGGGUGCAGUGGUGGUGUUGGGGGUGGGGGGGGGCACAGUCCACAGCACUAUUCAUCGCUGCCACUUCAGCCUGCUAACAAUGAUAGCUCUGUCAAGAGGAACUCCGGAGCAAUCUCCUGCUCCCUUCAGAAAGGAGCCCUGAUUUGUGGAGUGUGCCACACACCCUUCUCCCUGUGCCCCCUUUUCGAUCCCUCCUUCUCUCCUUUCUUCUCGGCUGCUGAUGUAAUCCAAAAUCAUCCAGAGGAGCAGCUGCACAGCGAAACUGCGCUCUCUCACUCGCUCGCACUCUCUCUAUAUCUCUUUCCUUUCUCUUUCCAGAGGCGCGCAGGGCUGUCACAGGGAAGGAGAAGAGGGCUGCAGAGACAAUUGGGUCCUUUCUCUCCUCUAUCACUUCAAAUCCCCUUUUCUGUCCACCACUGUAUCUUGCUUGAAGAGGUGUCCGGGUUCGGAACAGCCUGAGGGACAGACUGUUGUGUGUUUGUUUUACAAACACACAACUGGAAAAUCAACUGUAGCUAUCUCCCUGUUGGGCCACCAAAGCCUUUCUCCAACAGAUGUUGUAGUCUAAGUAUACCUUCUAAGUAUACUGUGUAAAUAUCACAAAAGAAUCCCACCUUGCAUGACUGGCUUUUCCGUCUGAGGGAAGACGAGUCAUAACCGUCUGCUGUGAAAGGUGUUGAGUGCACUAAUCUGCCAGUAGUGUGAAGAACAGCCUUAUCUUGAAUAAAGUAUAGCACUAGUACAUAGAGUUUACCCAUUGGGGGUGUGAUUUAAAGUCCUUGUUUUUGACUUUCCUGAUAACGUUAAGGGAAAACAGCCUGUCGACAUUGAGAUUAUUUUCUCAGAUCAGUUCAUGGUAUACGUAUUCAGAUGUUUUUUCAGUUUCAGAGGUGUCAUGUGAAGCCCAUACACAAAGAUGCUUCCAAAAAUGACAUUGUCUGUCAAAUCACCAGCUAGCCCCUUUCUCAGUUCCAGGCCUGGAGGUCAUGCUAGCCCCUUUCUCAGUUCCAGGCCUGGAGGUCAUGCUAGCCCCUUUCUCAGUUCCAGGCCUGGAGGUCAUGCUAGCCCCUUUCUCAGUUCCAGGCCUGGAGGUCAUGCUAGCCCCUUUCUCAGUUCAAGGCCUGGAGGUCAUGCUAGCCCCUUUCUCAGUUCAAGGCCUAGAGGUCAUGCUAGCCCCUUUCUCAGUUCCAGGCCUGGAGGUCAUGCUAGCCCCUUUCUCAGUUCCAGGCCUGGAGGUCAUGCUAGCCCCUUUCUCAGUUCCAGGCCUGGAGGUCAUGCUAGCCCCUUUCUCAGUUCCAGGCCUGGAGGUCAUGCUAGCCCCUUUCUCAGUUCAAGGCCUGGAGGUCAUGCUUGGCCCUUUCUCAGUUCCAGGCCUGGAGGUCUGACUCAUGCUGGUUUCCAUUCUUUCAUCCUAAUCAGGAAUUGAUCCAACCCUGGGGCUUCAGGUGAAGGAACUGUCUGGCCAAUCGGUGACAUGGAUCAAUAUAUUAACUCCCAGGGUGGAAAGACAACAAUCAAUACUCCGGACCUUCACGCUUAAAUGUGACUACCUCUGCUCUACCACAUAGCAACAGAAGGCAGAGCUAAGCGGAGUAUAUACUUAGUCAUGAGGGAUCCAUCCAGAAUGGCUUCCAGAACAUAGUUACCGUUACAUAAAUUGUAAGCUUAACACUGCCUUGUCAAUGUGACCUCAUGCAGGGCGCAAAGCUCCAGGAAAACAAACAUAUAGACUGGGACUCCUUUUUUUUCCUCUUUUCUCUGCUAUCUCUAUGACGAUCUGAUAAAAAAAACACCUAUCCCCGCAUUCCACUGACCCAUUUGACCCAUGAGAAGUGUGAGGUAAACCACAAGCCG